AACGAACGCUGGCGGCAGGCUUAACACAUGCAAGUCGAACGCCCCGCAAGGGGAGUGGCAGACGGGUGAGUAACGCGUGGGAACAUACCCUUUUCUACGGAAUAGCUCUGGGAAACUGGAAUUAAUACCGUAUACGCCCUACGGGGGAAAGAUUUAUCGGGGAAGGAUUGGCCCGCGUUGGAUUAGCUAGUUGGUGGGGUAAAGGCCUACCAAGGCGACGAUCCAUAGCUGGUCUGAGAGGAUGAUCAGCCACAUUGGGACUGAGACACGGCCCAAACUCCUACGGGAGGCAGCAGUGGGGAAUAUUGGACAAUGGGCUCAAGCCUGAUCCAGCCAUGCCGCGUGAGUGAUGAAGGCCUUAGAGUUGUAAAGCUCUUUCACCGAUGAAGAUAAUGACGGUAGUCGGAGAAGAAGCCCCGGCUAACUUCGUG
rnacentral:rRNA from 1 species